ACGGGUGAGUAACACGUAGGCAACCUGCCCUCAAGCUUGGGACAACUACCGGAAACGGUAGCUAAUACCGAAUACUUGUUUUCUUCGCCUGAAGGGAACUGGAAAGACGGAGCAAUCUGUCACUUGAGGAUGGGCCUGCGGCGCAUUAGCUAGUUGGUGAGGUAACGGCUCACCAAGGCGACGAUGCGUAGCCGACCUGAGAGGGUGAUCGGCCACACUGGGACUGAGACACGGCCCAGACUCCUACGGGAGGCAGCAGUAGGGAAUCUUCCGCAAUGGGCUAAAGCCUGACGGAGCAAUGCCGCGUGAGUGAUGAAGGUUUUCGGAUCGUAAAGCUCUGUUGCCAGGGAAGAACGCUUAGGAGAGUAACUGCUCCUGAGGUGACGGUACCUGAGAAGAAAGCCCCGGCUAACUACGUGCCAGCAGCCGCGGUAAUACGUAGGGGGCAAGCGUUGUCCGGAAUUAUUGGGCGUAAAGCGCGCGCAGGCGGUCAUUUAAGUCUGGUGUUUAAUCCCGGGGCUCAACCCCGGAUCGCACUGGAAACUGGGUGACUUGAGUGCAGAAGAGGAGAGUGGAAUUC
rnacentral:rRNA from 1 species